rnacentral:lncRNA from 1 species
AUUUAAUAUCAAUUUAAAUAUCAUAUUUAAAUAUCAUAGAGCCUGAGGGAAUAAGCGUGGAGAUCCUCAGAAAAGUGAUUCUUUAGGUAAGUGGAAGAUUUGGAGAUGUCUACUUUCAUAUGAUCCCAAGGCAUUUUCUACAAUCAGCUGGUGGAGCCCUCUCCAUUCUUCCCUUUAGGCUCUCUUUGGGAAUCAUUGCUGAGCUUUAGCUCUGUAAAGGAAGAACUGAGGCAAUCAUCUAGGAUAGGAAGGAAGGAUGGGAAAGGGAAGAGCCCUUUUAUUCAUCCAAAAGGAUAAAUUUUCAGUUACAGCAAAUAAGCUUAGAAUUUAUUCUGUGAUAUGGGGGGUUUUAAGCAAAUUAUUAAACAUCAGCUCUACUGAAAUCAUAAGUACUGAUUGGAAACUAUAAUCAAAAUCCUAAACACCUUCUUCCUGUGUGUACCCAGGUUUCAGGUUGCUUUCCAACAACUUGUAUACAGCCCGGUACACAGAUACACAGAAAGUACCAUAUGGAGACACACAGAAACUUGUCUUCUCUUGGAGGUCCAAGACAGUUUUAGAGCCAAAACAUAUGCUACAAAAGUUUUGUUCUAUCAAGCCUGAAACUUUGAAUGUUAGCAUCCAUGAUCACAGCUGCCUGUUCUACAAUAUCUGACAUAUUUGCAUUACUGGUAUUUUCCAUACUGUUGUCUGUUUCUCCUCUGUAAAUUACGUGACAGUUGAUAAUCUCAUCGCCUUUAGUCUUUCCAUUAAGUACUGCAAGAGAAAUAUGCCUAUCAAAUCUAUCACACAUCUGCUCAUAUCUUCCUUCUGUACAAAAUUCUUGGCUGUGUCAUACAUAGUAAUACCUAAUAAAUAUUUGUUCGAUGGAUGAAUAUUUCCCAAAGGCUUGCAGCAGAGAUUCUAAAACUUUGGGAGACAGAAAUAAGUGACUCAUCCCCCAUAAGAAUAAAUCGGUGGGAGGAGGUGGCAGUAUGUAAUACAAAAAAAAAAAAAAAAAUUUACAUGUUCAAUAGAUCUAUUAUUUUUCUAAUGCAAACUACUAAAAUACAACUUGUUUUGCCUAGUAGAUAUGUGUAGAAAAUUGACUAAAAACAAAUAUUAGAGGGAAUACAAUUUUUAAAAGGUUGAGAAAUAUUGGUUUGAAGUUAAAAAUUUUAAACUUUUUUUGUUUGUUUGGCAUCGGAAUCCUUCAUUGUGACCCUUGUGAGUGAUCCAGGCUCACCUCCACUCACUCCACAUGUGGAUACUGCCCCCUUCUUCUCCUCAUAACCAGAAGCAUUAUGACCUUCCUGGAAUAUACAGUGCCUCUAACACUUCCAUUAUGAAGCCUCUCCUAACUCCCACAAUUUUAACAGCACUAUCUCCUAGUCUCUCCUCUUAACAUGGCCAAAAAUAGUCAAUUCAAUUAUUUCCAGAGUAUGUUUGUCUUGACAUUAAUUAAACUAGUGCCAAAGAUUAUAAUACUAAUUGUGAAACUAAUUUAAAGAAUUUAACAGACCUUAGCAUUACACACUAAAUAAGAUAUUGGUGAUUUUAAAGAAGUAUUGAAAGUGACUUUAAAUAGUUGUAUAGGCUAAAUUUUCCAUGGCAAAUGUGUCAAGUUGAACUCACUUUGAAUAUUAUUUAUAUGAUAUAUAAUGAAAAUAGAUAUGUGAUCAAUAGAAUAUCCUGAAAUAUUCAUGAGUUAUUUUCAUCCAAUUGUUUCAGACACUGAUAAUUUUUUAAAGUGGAAUUUCAGUUAGUAAUCUUAGUUGUUUUGAAAAUAGAUUAAAUUUUAAUUUAAUAUGUGAAUUUAAAACUAAAUAUAUUUUUGCUAAUCAAAUAUAUUUAAGAUAAAAUUUUAAUAAAUAUCACAUCUUAAACUACUAUUAGGAUAUUUAAAAUGUACUACCUAUAUUUGCUGAUAUUUCUUCUCUACUUGAAUCUUAGUUGACCCUUCUCACCUCUUAAUUUGGCAAAUAAUAUCUUCCCAAGAAGAUUGGUCUUACAGAGCAGUAAAAAGAGCUUUUAAAUAAAAGUUUAAUGAAACCCAGUUUCGGCAACAAUGCUGUAUUAGUUCGUUCUCACACUGCUAUGAAGAAAUACUCAAGACUGCGUAAUUUAUAAAGAAAAGUUUAAUUGACUCACAGUUCUGCAUGGCUGGGGAGCCCUCAGGAAACUUACAAUCAUGGCAGAAGGCACGUCUUCACAGGGCAGCAGGAGAAAGAAUGAGUACCAGCAGGGGAAAUGCCAGAUGCUUACAAAACCGUCAGAUCUUGUGAGAACUCACUUACUAUCUGGAGAACACCAUGGGAGAAAAUGCCCCCAUGAUCUAAUUACCUUCACCUCGUCCUGCCCUUGACACAUGGGGCUUAUGAGGAUUACAAUUCAAGGGGAGAUCUGGAUGAGAACACAGAACCAAACCAUAUCAGAUGCCCCAAAACAAACUUUUGUGUACUUCUUGCUGAAGAAGUGAGUUGAUGUGGAUUCUUUGGAAACAAUUAAAAAAUGUCUGUUACUUAAUUGGCAUUGGUAAUAUGUUCACAGUAAUUGCAGUUUAGAAAUAUAUUUUAAGAUUUAGCUGCACCCCAGAAAAUGCCACCUAAAUUUAUAGUGCCAGAAAACAGAUCAUUGGUUGCCUAGGGAAGGGGAUAGGAAGAAGGGUGUCAAUUCAAAGGGACAACUUUUGGGGCUGGUAUAUACAUUCACUGUGUUGAUUUUCAUGAUGGUUUGAAGAGUGGCAAAAUCUAGAAAAUUCUAUGCUUCAUACGCAAUCAUUACAUUUCAAUUAUACCUCAAAUCUGUUGAUAGAGAUAUGUACAAAUAUAAAAAAAUUUUGUCAAAAGUCCCUUGCAUGAUCAUUUGAAAAAGGACCAACCUGUACGCAAUCUCCUACAUGCAUUGUAUCUACCAAAAAAUUGUUAACUAGAAAAUAUUCACAAACUACCCUUUAUUCAUAAGUUACUUUAAAAAACAGAAUAAAUAAAAGUAUGUACAAAACAACACUAGAAGCAAAUUGAUAGAAAACUUACAGAGAAUGUUUUCUUUAUUCAAAAUGUGCACAUUUUCUAAUAUUGUUUUACUGUGAAUUUUAUUUUUUAAAAAGAAGAAAAAUAUUUUAACAGAUAAAUAAGACAUAGACACUAUGAAAGACUGUAUUCACUGAGUAAAUCAUGCCAAAUUAUUUCUUUGGUUGCUAUGGGGCAACUAAACUGUUAUAUUCUGUUGUUAAACUAAAGAGAAAGCAUUUUAAUUUAAGCAAAGUAUACAGCAAAGGGUUGAUUGUAUGUUGUUUGAGAAAAAAAAAAUGAUAGCUCAGUUUGCUUCACUUUGGCUAUGGUUUGAAUGUCCGUUCAAUUUUAAAGUCUGUGCAGUGCUAUUGGGAUCUAUCCUGAAUGUUUAUCCCCCAUGGAUAUGUAUGGGACUGGAAGGUUUUCUGUUACUUCACUUCUCAAAGUCUUUAUUUAGUUUGCUGACUAGGAUCAGAUUCACACAUGUGCAGCUCUGGGAAAGAAGCCCAGGAUUUUUAUGAAUAAUUUUAUGGCUUUGAUUUCCUGAGCCUUCUUUGCAAUUUCUGCAGUACUUUCUGGUUCCCCUGGGCUUCCCUUUUUAGUCCUUUGGCCAGAAAGUUGGUGUUUUCGUUACUUCACUCUGGCACAGACUUCUGUGGCUGUGCCCACAUCUGGGGUCAAAACAAAAUAGCAAGGAACAAUUGUGAAGAUAAUUCAGCUCACACUUUUAGGACCACAGCACCAUUGAUUGGACAGGAAGAUUUUGAUCCCUAAUACAUUUGGUUCCUGUGGGGUCCCUUGCAGGUGUUACUGUUAUAGACAGGAUUGUUUCGACCUAGGAAUAAAGGACCUCUGCUAGAACUCUCUGUGUCUCAGUGCUCACUUCAGGUUUUGGCUUAAUAUGACCUUAGGCAGGGGGUAAUAGAAAAAUAAAACUGGUAGACUCACCACUGAUUCCUUGAUGCUUCAAGUUGCCAUUCUUUCCUGACUUUCUGGCAACUAUUUGGUAUUCAGAGUUCUCAAACAGCAAAUGCAUGCAUUCUGCCCAGAUUUCAUAGCUGCAUUCAGAGGGAAAGACAUGGUGGAGUGUGCUUGCCCCAACGCUUAGAAUUAAAACCCAAACAAAUACUUUUUAUUUAAUAAAUUUGCUACAAGUCUUUUUCUAUUAAAUUCAGUUCCAGUGGGUCCCUUAACUGUUCCUUUGACUAAAGCAUAUGACUGGAGUCAAUAAAAUUUACAUAUUGUUAUGAUUUUACUUAAGAAUAUGUGCAUAUAAAUAUUUCACUUUAAAAUUAGCUUUAUGCAUAUCCAUUUUUCUCAAGCUCUCCCUUUGUUCACUUCAGCAGUGGUCCAGCCCUGAUUGUCUCUUUAAG